rnacentral:rRNA from 1 species
AUUGAACGCUGGCGGCAGGCCUAACACAUGCAAGUCGAACGAGUGGCGGACGGGUGAGUAAUGUCUGGGAAACUGCCCGAUGGAGGGGGAUAACUACUGGAAACGGUAGCUAAUACCGCAUACCAUCAGAUGAACCCAUAUGGGAUUAGCUUGUUGGUGGGGUAACGGCUCACCAAGGCGACGAUCCCUAGCUGGUCUGAGAGGAUGACCAGCCACACUGGAACUGAGACACGGGCCAGACUCCUACGGGAGGCAGCAGUGGGUAAUAUUGCACAAUGGGCGCAAGCCUGAUGCAGCCAUGCCGCGUGUAUGAAGAAGGCCUUAGGGUUGUAAAGUACUUUCAGCGGGGAGGCGUUACCCGCAGAAGAAGCACCGGCUAACUCCGUGCCAGCCGCCGCGGUAAUUC